GGACUAACGAAGGGAGUCUUGUGGUACUGAACGGAACCUUCCCUACACCUGACCUGGGUAGGAUAAAACUACCGGUAAAAGGGGUGUCCUCGCCGACCGCCAUUCAUUUAUGACGUGCCGGCGGGCUAGUGAAUAGACCUCUGUGGGUGCAAGAGGGACCGGAUCAUUCACCUCCACACGCCUGAGGCCAUCCUUUGCAAGCCCGUCAACCACUUCAUUCCCCUUCAGGCCGACAUGA